rnacentral:rRNA from 1 species
GAUGAACGCUAGCUACAGGCUUAACACAUGCAAGUCGAGGGGCAGCACAUGAAGUAGCAAUACGGAUGGUGGCGACCGGCGCACGGGUGAGUAACGCGUAUGCAAUCUACCUACAACAAGGGAAUAGCUCGUUGAAAGACGGACUAAUACCCUAUAAAACAGGGGUCCCGCAUGGGAAUAUUUGUUAAAGAUUUAUCGGUUGUAGAUGAGCAUGCGUUCCAUUAGCUUGUUGGUGAGGUAACGGCCCACCAAGGCAACGAUGGAUAGGGGAACUGAGAGGUUUAUCCCCCACACUGGUACUGAGACACGGACCAGACUCCUACGGGAGGCAGCAGUGAGGAAUAUUGGUCAAUGGAGGCAACUCUGAACCAGCCACGUCGCGUGAAGGAAGACGGCCCUACGGGUUGUAAACUUCUUUUGUAAGGGAAUAAAGUGCAGUACGUGUACUGUUUUGCAUGUACCUUACGAAUAAGGAUCGGCUAACUCCGUG